rnacentral:tRNA from 1 species
GGAGUCGUAGGGUAGCUUGGAUAUCCUGUCAGGUUCCGGACCUGACGACCUGGGUUCAAAUCCCAGCGACUCCG